AGAGACAAGGGAUUUUGAUGUUAAAGAGAUUGAUAUUAUUAGUGAUGAAGAGAAGACUGUUCAAGAAUUUCAACCUGAAUAUUCAGAGGAGAUUGUUCAGGAAUUUCAAAGUUUUGAAGCUGAUAUAAAUGGUGCAAAUGGUGAGAAUAAUCUAGGUUUUGAGAAUUGGAACAAUGGAGGUGAAUUGGGAUUGCCAAUUCGAGGAAAGACCGUUGUAGGCCAAGUUGGAAAAACAGAUCUCCGGCGAUCAAAAACAAAUUUCUACAGAGUAUUGGACAGAGCAUAUAUUGAUGGAUCGCUGCUAUAUUGCAACUAUGUCACUGUUUUAAUAAACAUGAAUUUCUGAUUGACUUGAGUGUGGAAAUUGAGGAUUUGGUAACUAUUCAAGAUGCUCUAGAAUCUCUCACCAAGAUGUACCAAAUUACAGAUUUUGGAACAAAGUUUGGACGUGACAAUUGUAAGGAGGAAGAGGAGCGACAAUUUAUGAUAGACCAGGCUCCUACAAGGCAAGGGGAUCAUCAUUUAUUGAGAAGAUUGGCAAGCAUAUAGAGUUUCCAUUAGAUUGGACUUGAAACCCUACACCAAUGGCAGUCAAGGGAGUAAUGACAGUCAAGCACAUUUGAAGUCUCAUCUUUAAGCAACUAUGGUACAUAAUGGAUUUUUAUCCACUUGUGGGCAUUACCUUUGCUACAUGUCUGGGCAUUAUUUUUGCUACAUGCAGGCCUUUCCAACCACAUGAUAUAAGCUAGACGACUUAAAGGUAAUUAAGGUUGCUGAAGAGGUUGGUUUUGGCUUUCAUGGUUAUGAUUUGGAGUUUGGUUCCUCUAAGAUUUUACUUCUCAAAGAGGAUGAGUGUGUGAGAAGUGGCAAAGAAAUAAAAUCAAAAUUAAGAUUCUGUCGUUGGAGGGAGAAUGUGCAAUGGCUAAAUAAGACAACACAUUACACUUGGAAGGGAAAUAUAGUCCAGAUAAAUGCUUUCUACCAAUCAAGUUCUAGCAUUCAAGUGCAGCUUUAACCUUAGCAUUCAAGAUGCUUGAACAGAAGAAUUUUUCUUUUUUUCAUGGAACCUUUUCAUAUUCAUUCUUGAGGAUAGGAAUGAUUUCAAGAGGUGGGGAAUGUUAUGACUAAGUAGUUAGUAAAUGAUAUAAACAGCCCUUUGCAUUGUAAUUGAGGGGGA
rnacentral:misc_RNA from 1 species